rnacentral:rRNA from 1 species
GUGUCAGCCGCCGCGGUAAUACGGAGGGUGCAAGCGUUGUUCGGAAUCACUGGGCGUAAAGCGCGUGUAGGCGGCCAUUUAAGUCUGGUGUGAAAGCCCUGGGCUCAACCCAGGAAGUGCACUGGAUACUGGAUGGCUGGAGUACCGGAGAGGAGGGUGGAAUUCCUGGUGUAGCGGUGAAAUGCGUAGAUAUCAGGAGGAACACCGGUGGCGAAGGCGUCCCUCUGGCCGGAUACUGACGCUGAGACGCGAAAGCGUGGGGAGCAAACAGGAUUAGAAACCCUCGUAGUCC